rnacentral:rRNA from 1 species
GAUGAACGCUGGCGGCGUGCCUAAUACAUGCAAGUCGAGCGAACGGACGAGAAGCUUGCUUCUCUGAUGUUAGCGGCGGACGGGUGAGUAACACGUGGAUAACCUACCUAUAAGACUGGGAUAACUUCGGGAAACCGUAGCUAAUACCGGAUAAUAUUUUGAACCGCAUGGUUCAAAAGUGAAAGACGGUCUUGCUGUCACUUAUAGAUGGAUCCGCGCUGCAUUAGCUAGUUGGUAAGGUAACGGCUUACCAAGGCAACGAGGCAUAGCCGACCUGAGAGGGGGAUCGGCCACACUGGAACUGAGACACGGUCCAGACUCCUACGGGAGGCAGCAGUAGGGAAUCUUCCGCAAUGGGCGAAAGCCUGACGGAGCAACGCCGCGUGAGUGAUGAAGGUCUUCGGAUCGUAAAACUCUGUUAUUAGGGAAGAACAUAUGUGUAAGUAACUGUGCACAUCUUGACGGUACCUAAUCAGAAAGCCACGGCUAACUACGUG